rnacentral:rRNA from 1 species
UGGAGAGUUUGAUCCUGGCUCAGGACGAACGCUGGCGGCGUGCCUAAUACAUGCAAGUCGAGCGCAGGAAACUGACGGAACUCUUCGGAGGGAAGGCAGCGGAAUGAGCGGCGGACGGGUGAGUAACACGUAAGGAACCUGCCUCAAGGAUUGGGAUAACUCCGAGAAAUCGGAGCUAAUACCGGAUAGUUCAUCGGACCGCAUGGUCCGUUGAUGAAAGGCGCUNCGGCGUCACCUUGAGAUGGCCUUGCGGUGCAUUAGCUAGUUGGUGGGGUAACGGCCCACCAAGGCGACGAUGCAUAGCCGACCUGAGAGGGUGAUCGGCCACACUGGGACUGAGACACGGCCCAGACUCCUACGGGAGGCAGCAGUAGGGAAUCUUCCACAAUGGACGAAAGUCUGAUGGAGCAACGCCGCGUGAGUGAUGAAGGUUUUCGGAUCGUAAAACUCUGUUGUAAGGGAAGAACACGUACGAGAGGGAAUGCUCGUACCUUGACGGUACCUUACGAGAAAGCCACGGCUAACUACGUGCCAGCAGCCGCGGUA